GAUGAAGAACGUAGCGAAAUGCGAUAAUUAAUGUGAAUUGCAGAAUUUAGUGAAUCAUCGAAUCUUUGAACGCACAUUGCGCCCCUUGGUAUUCCGGGGGGCAUGCCUGUUCGAGCGUCAUUUCAACCCUCAAGCUUUGCUUGGUCUUGGGCCGCGCCGGCGACGGCGGGCCUCAAAAACAGUGGCGGCGCCAUCUGGUUCCUCAGCGUAGUAAUUCUUCUCGCUGUUGGGCCCGGGUGGCCGCUGGCCAGCAACCCCAAAUUUUCUAUGGUUGACCUCGGAUCAGGUAGGGAUACCCGCUGAACUUAAGCAUAUCAAUAAGCGGAGGA
rnacentral:misc_RNA from 1 species